UUACACAAAUUGUUUUGUUUGUGUUGAUUUAAAAGCCAAAUAAUGUGGUGGGUCCACCAGACCCGGGAACAUUGUCUGUGUAACAAAAAUAUGAACACUACACAAUUGGCAAAGUGUUAAAAGUAAA